AUUGAACGCUGGCGGCAGGCCUAACACAUGCAAGUCGAGCGGAGCGGCGGACGGGUGAGUAAUGCCUAGGAAUCUGCCUGGUAGUGGGGGAUAACGUCCGGAAACGGGCGCUAAUACAGCAUAUUAUAGGUUGAGCCUGGGUCGGAUUAGCUAGUUGGUGGGGUAAUGGCCUACCAAGCCGACGAUCCGUACCUGGUCUGAGAGGAUGAUCAGUCACACUGGAACUGAGACACGGUCCAGACUCCUACGGGAGGCAGCAGUGGGGAAUAUUGGACAAUGGGCGAAAGCCUGAUCCAGCCAUGCCGCGUGUGUGAAGAAGGUCUUCGGAUUGUAAAGCACUUUAAGUUGGGAGGCGUUACCAACAGAAUAAGCACCGGCUAACUUCGUGCCAGCAGCCGCGGUAAUUC
rnacentral:rRNA from 1 species